UAUCAAUGUUUAGAGGGGACCGCAACAAGAAAGGACGGGGUUCUAUUCAAUGGAAGAACAUGGCAGGUAUUCCAUCACAGCCAAACGACAAACAGUGCGGCUAUUUUGUAAUGAGAUAUAUGAGGGACAUCAUAUAUGAUACAAACUUGGGUUUUGCAGAUAAGUGGGGUAGGAGAGCCAACCAUGUUUAUUGUUAAGGGGAAAUUGAUGAAGUGCGUAAUGAGCUCGCAAGUUAUGUGGUGAAGAACAUCCUCAAGUUGUAGAGUCUGCAGUUGCUCAUGGCCUAGAAGCUCAGAAGUGAAAUAGGCUAGAAAUGUGUUUUUGUGGUCUGAAGUGACAAUUUAAAGUACAUUUCUUCACUUAUUUUGCUAUUGAAGUAGCAUAUACAGAUGUGCUCCUUCUUUUGCUAUUGGAGUAGCAUAUAUAGAUGUGCUCCUUAUUUUGCAUUGUCUAAUCCA